rnacentral:rRNA from 1 species
UACGUAGGUGGCAAGCGUUGUCCGGAUUUACUGGGCGUAAAGAGCGCGCAGGCGGUCUUUUAAGUCGUAUGUGAAAGCCCCCGGCUCAACUGGGGAGGGUCAUUCGAUACUGAUCGACUUGAAGGCAGGAGAGGGUAGUGGAAUUCCCGGUGUAGUGGUGAAAUGCGUAGAUAUCGGGAGGAACACCAGUGGCGAAGGCGACUACCUGGCCUGUUCUUGACGCUGAGGCGCGAAAGCGUGGGGAUCAAACAGG